UCAAGAUAUAUUUUUUUUGCAUAAAUUAGAAACAAUAAUCUCUUAUAUUUAUAUAUAUAUAUAUAUAUAAUACAUGGAUACAUACAAAAAAUUACAUAUGAGUCGAUGGCUCGAGCAACAAGUUGCACCGCUAAACCUUUUUAGAUGGCAAAAUUAGUUCUCAUAAACAACUCAUUCAUGGACCUAGAAGACAUAAUGUUGUUAUACGUGACCAUUUGAACUAUAUGUAGAAGGUCAACAACCUCUGGUGCUAGAAAGACAAAUGUGCAACGCAAAUAGUAUAAAAGCGUUGAUUGUCACAACACGUUUCCUCAAGAAUAGAUCCUAUUGCUACCAUAGCCAGAGGAUUUGUUUCUUGUUGAGGUGGGGAGUCAGGAAUUUUUGUGAUGAUAUGAGGUGGGGGAAAUGUAGUGUUGUUGUCUAUAGGCAUAUUCUCCUUUAGCUUUAUCAUAACCCUUGGUUGCUUUGGAAAACGCAACUUAUGUCUGUCUCUUAUUUAUGAUUUCCCCAUAUUUUGUUUCAGAAUCUGAUGAAGAUAGGUCUGAAAGAUCCGCUAUUAUGGAAGGCUUCUUUCCUUUAGGUUCAACUUUCUUUACUGCUUUUGCAAGUAUAGGUGAGGGUGAUUUAUGUCUAGGCGGAGAAGGAAUUUGUGAAUUGAUGAUUUAAAGGUGUAGGAUCUUUUUGUUGGUUCAUAUUAUGUUAAAGGCUUGGUUUAAAGUUGAGUUUGUUUUGAUGGUGAGUAUGUCAAAUGCUGAGGGAUUUCAACUUUAGUUUCAGUGUUAGACUGUAGUUUAGAUGGUGCGGGUUGUAGUUCAGUUUUUUAUUCAUUUUGGUUAGAGGGAGUGGGGGUAAUGGAUUGUGUGAGAGUGGAUGUUCGGGUCUUGGGUUGGUGAAGUUUGGUUGUGGAUUUUUACAUGAAAUAUGGCCUUAUUUGUUUGGUAAUUGACCUUCUUGGAAGAGUUGCACCUAUUUGUCUUGGUUUCUUGAUCUUAGUGGAAAGUUUUCCGUUUAAGUUGGCCUAUGCAACCCUACUAAGAGUUGGUGAGGUUCCUGAUAGUCUAAGGCUGAGGUGGUUGCAACCUUAGCCAAUGUAUGAAGGUUGUGGGUGCCUUUGAAAACGGGUGCCUUUAAUUUCUUGGCAACUCUUUCAGGAUUGUGUGCUUCCGUGGCAAAACCUUCUUAGGUGUUGGGUUGUUCUGCCUUUGGGAGUGAGAGAUGUGUUUUUUGUGGGGUGUCAUUCGGAGAGAAUAUGUGAGAGUUAGUGCUCCCUCGUGGUAUGGUUUUGCUUUUUGCGUAUUUUAAGGGUUUGUGCGUAGGUAAGAGAGUGUGGUUAGGGUUGGUUUAUGUUUGGUAUGUUGUUGUGUGGUCCGUCUAAUUCUCUCGUAAUGACCUUAUCUUUUUUGGAGACUCGACUUCGGCUAAGCAUUUGGUGGACAUGGUGAAUUUUUAGCCUGAAAGUGGUUCCUUGCAAACUACCUUACUAGCCUAUUCUAAAUAUAUGAGUGGAAGGUACAACCUGUCAUGUGUUGGACGCGAUAGGGUCUUGUGGUAGUGUUGGUUCUUCUGUUGUUUAAUGGUGGGUAUGGGGUUGCUGUCCAUCUUGGGUUGUCGAAACCUACAUGCGUUACUUUUUAUCUCUUUCUUGUAGGAUAGAGUUGUAGCUUUUCAGUGGAGUGCAUGUGUUCCUUAGGGUGGUUUGUCGUUUUAAUUUUGAUUGUUGAAGUGUCAUGUUUCUCUUAUGUGUCGUGUAUUUCGGUGCUGGGUGUUCAUCUAUUUAGUUUGAUCUUGAGCUUUAUAAAGUUAAUUUUUAAGGUGGAUUAUAUUUAAUGAGUUAGAUUUUUGUCAUGCAUUUUUGGGACAAAAGAAUGAAGAAAAAAUUGAAAUGUGAAGUUUUUAUGAUGUUGUAGAAUUUUGAGAGAUUGAAAAAAAAACUAGUAAAUUGUUAGAAAACGAAUCCAUCAAGUCUUUUUUACAACCUUUUGGAGGUGGGAAAGUUGUUUGAUUAUGCUUGAAUUGUUUCCGUUUUUAUAAAUUUGAAAAAACAUCGUAUAAUUGAAAAAGGUUACUGUAAAUUCAUCAUAGAAAAGUUUAUAAUGAAAUAUGGAAUUUUGAGAAAAAACUUUGAAGUAGAUUGAUUUAAUAUACAUUAUCAAACCCAAGGUCCUGAUUUAAUAUAUAUUUUGAGAAAAUUAUUUGAACUUGGUACUUUUUAAAACAAAUGAAGAUUUCUUAAAAUGUUAAAUUAUUUUGAAAAAAGAAUUUGAGAAUUCUUGAUUUUCUUAAGAGUUUUAGUAUAGGGUUUCUAAUUUUUAAUUUGAGAACUUUUGGCAAAGUUGUGUUAGGAGAGUGAAAAACCCUAGGGCCAGAGUAUUUUGGCAAAGCUGGCAAAGUUGAUUUUCUAAUUUUUCAUUUCAGGUUGGUUUAGAAGCUUUUUUUUAUAUAUAUAAGUUGAUUGCUUGACUUAAGGUACGAGAAAACUUUGAAGGAGUUACAAAUUCUUGUAAGUGGAGGGCUAACGAGGUCCAAGCAGCAGCUUCCACCUGAAUUCUAUGUGAUAGCUCAUUGACUGCAGCUGCAAUUUCAUCCACUGUGUUUAGUCGACUCCCUUCUUCUACCUAUUAUUAAUUCCAAUAUAUAAAUUAUCACCCUGGUUGACCUUGUUCUCACUAAGAGUGCAGAUGGUGAAGCCUAUUCUCUGUUCGAACCUUGCAGUGCGUAUGGAAGAAAAAGAAUACAAAAUUGGAAUGAUAUAACUGAUCAUCAAUUCUUUGUGCUCAAUGAGUGGAAAGCAACAUGGAAAGUACGCCAGCCAACAACCACUAAAUCACCUAGUACAGGAAAUGUGAAAUGGUUGAAACCAAAUGCAGGCAGGUUCAAAUGUAACAUUGAUGUGUCCUUCUCAACGCAAUAUAAUGAAGUUUAGAGAUGUAUGUACUCGCAAAAAUUGGAUAUGUGUAAAAGAGAUGAUACAAGUGCAUCUCUACGGGCAAAAAUCGAAUGGUUUAGUCCAAUCUGCAAUGUUCAUAUGGGUGAAGCAUUAGGAUGCCUUUUGGUGUUGAAUUGGGUUCAUGAACUAAACUUGAAAACCGUUGAUUUUAAGCUUGAUUCAAAGAGUGUGUCGGAUAAAUUUCCCUCAAACAAGAUGUAACAAAAUUUGGGGCUAAUAAUUUGCAUAUAGCUUUAUUUAAUCAAUAUUAUGUAAACUUCAAUGUUGAGUUUCUGCCAUACAAACAAAUGAAGUUGUCUAUAAUUGCAUAUAGCUUUAUUUCAUCAUUGAACCAUUUUUUUAGGCU
rnacentral:lncRNA from 1 species